rnacentral:lncRNA from 10 species
CCCGUUAAUUUUUUGUAUUUUUAGUAGAGACGGAAUUUCACCAUGGUGGCCAUGACUGGUCCCCAACUCCUGACCUCAGGUGAUCUGCCCGCCUCCACCUCCCAAAGUGCUGAGAUUACAGGCCUGAGCCACCGCGCCCAGCCAUGGCAUCUGUUUUACCAGAAGAGAUCAACACACCCUCUGAAACAUGAUACAGGACACUGAUCUGCUCACUGCAACUUCUGCCUCCCGGUCUCCUGCCACCACUCCCGGCCAUCCUCCCACCUCAGCCUCCUGAGUAGCUGGGACUACAGGCACGCACCCCCAUGCUAGGCUAAUUUUGUAUUUUUAAAUAGAAACAGGAUUUUGCCAUGUUGCCCAGGCUGGUCUCGAAUUCCUGAGCUCAGGCGAUUCACCUGCCUCAAACUCCUGGGCUCAAGUGGUCUGCUCACCUCAGCUUCCCAAAGUGUGGGGAUUACAGGAGUGAACCACCAUGCCUGGCCCUUUGCCUAUUUUAUUUUAUUUUAUUUGAGACGGAAUCUCGCUCUGUCAUCCAGGCUGGAAUGCAGUGGUGCAAUUUCAGCUCGCUGCAACUUCCAACUUCCGCCUCCUGGGUUCAAGCGAUUCUCCAGCCUCAGCCUCCCGAGUAGCUGGGAUUACAGAUGUGAGCCACCACACCAGGCUAAUUUUUGUAUUUUUAGUAGAGACGGGGUUUCACCAUGUUGGCCAGGCUGGCCUUGAAUUCCUGACCUCAGGUGACCCUCCUGCCUUGUCCUCCCAAAGUGUUGGGAUUACAGGCAUGAGCCACCGUGCCCAGCCCCUUUUCCCAUUUUAGAAUUGGGUCUUGUGGGGUAUUGUUGUUUCUGCUAUUGUUGUUGAGUUAUAGGAGUUCUUUAUAUAUACUAGAUAUUAAUCCCUUAUCAGAUAUAUAAUUGGCAGGUAUUUUCUCACAUCCUGUGGGACUCUGUUGAUGGUGUCCUUUGAUGCCUAAAAAUUUUCCAUUUUAAUGAAGUUCAAUAUACCUAUACCAAAUCUAAUGUCAUAAAAUUUUCUCCCAUUUGCUUUUAAGAGUUUUAUAGUCUGGGCACAGUGGCUCAAGCUUGUAAUUCCAGCACUUUGGGAGGCCAAGGUGGGCAGAUCACUUGAGCCCAGGAGUUCAAGACCAAUGUGGGCAACAUGGUGAGAUGCCAUCUCUACAAAAAACAAAAACAAAAGUUAGCUGGGCAUGGUGGCACACAUCUAUAGUCUCAGCUACUCAGGAGGCUGAGGUGGAAGGAUUACUUGAACCUGGGAAAUUGAGGCUGCAGUGAGCCAUGAUGGUGCCACUGUAUUCCAGCCUGGGUGACAGAACAAUACUUUGUCUCAAAAAAAAAAAAAGAAAGAAAGAAAGAGGAAAAAAAGAAUUUUGUAAUUUUGGCUAAUACAUUUAGCUCUUUCAUUCAGUUUGAUUAAUUUUUGUAUAUCAUGCAAGGUAAGGUAAGGAUGCCACUUCAUUUUUUUGCAUAUGGCUAUCCAGUUUUCCCAGCACCAUUUAUUGAAAAGACUGUCCUUUCCCUGUCGAAUGGUCUUGGUACCCUUGUCAAAAAUCAUCUGACCAUAUGUGUGAGGGUUUAUAUCUGGGAUUUCUAUUCUAUUCCAUAUGUCUGUCUUUAUGCCAGUACCAAACUGUUUUGAUUACAGUAACUUUGUAAUAAGUUUUGAAAUCAGGAACUGUGAAUCAUCCAAUUUUGUUUUUCCUUUUAGAAAUUAUUUUGGCUAUUCAUCAUCCCUUGAGAUUCCAUACACAUUUUUUUAUGAGACAGAGUCUCGCUCUUUCGCCCAGGCUGAAGUGCAGUGGCAUGAUCUUGGCUAACUGCAACCUCCGCCUUUUGGGUUCAAGCAAUUCUUGUGCCUCAGCC